rnacentral:rRNA from 1 species
CGAACGCUGAAGCCUAGCUUGCUGGGUGGAUGAGUGGCGAACGGGUGAGUAACACGUGAGUAACCUGCCCUCUUCUUUGGGAUAACGCCCGGAAACGGGUGCUAAUACUGGAUAUUCACUGGCCUUCGCAUGGGGGUUGGUGGAAAGGUUUUUUCUGGUGGGGGAUGGGCUCGCGGCCUAUCAGCUUGUUGGUGGGGUGAUGGCCUACCAAGGCUUUGACGGGUAGCCGGCCUGAGAGGGUGACCGGUCACAUUGGGACUGAGAUACGGCCCAGACUCCUACGGGAGGCAGCAGUGGGGAAUAUUGCACAAUGGGCGAAAGCCUGAUGCAGCGACGCCGCGUGAGGGAUGGAGGCCUUCGGGUUGUAAACCUCUUUCGCUCAUGGUCAAGCCGCAACUGUGGGUUGUGGUGAGGGUAGUGGGUAAAGAAGCGCCGGCUAACUACGUGCCAGCAGCCGCGGUAAUACGUAGGGCGCGAGCGUUGUCCGGAAUUAUUGGGCGUAAAGGGCUUGUAGGCGGUUGGUCGCGUCUGCCGUGAAAUCCUCUGGCUCAACUGGGGGCGUGCGGUGGGUACGGGCUGACUUGAGUGCGGUAGGGGAGACUGGAACUCCUGGUGUAGCGGUGGAAUGCGCAGAUAUCAGGAAGAAC